AUUGAACGCUGGCGGCAGGCCUAACACAUGCAAGUCGAGCGGAUGAAGGGAGCUUGCUCCUGGAUUCAGCGGCGGACGGGUGAGUAAUGCCUAGGAAUCUGCCUGGUAGUGGGGGAUAACGUCCGGAAACGGGCGCUAAUACCGCAUACGUCCUGAGGGAGAAAGUGGGGGAUCUUCGGACCUCACGCUAUCAGAUGAGCCUAGGUCGGAUUAGCUAGUUGGUGGGGUAAAGGCCUACCAAGGCGACGAUCCGUAACUGGUCUGAGAGGAUGAUCAGUCACACUGGAACUGAGACACGGUCCAGACUCCUACGGGAGGCAGCAGUGGGGAAUAUUGGACAAUGGGCGAAAGCCUGAUCCAGCCAUGCCGCGUGUGUGAAGAAGGUCUUCGGAUUGUAAAGCACUUUAAGUUGGGAGGAAGGGCAGCAGGUUAAUACCUUGCUGUUUUGACGUUACCAACAGAAUAAGCACCGGCUAACUUCGUG
rnacentral:rRNA from 1 species